GCUUGCUCUUAUGAAGUUAGCGGCGGACGGGUGAGAAACACGUGGGUAACCUGCCCAUAAGACUGGGAUUACUCCGGGAAACCGGGGCUAAUACCGGAUAACAUUUUGAACAGCAUGGUUCGAAAUUGAAAGGCGGCUUCCGCUGUCACUUAUGGAUGGACCCGCGUCGCAUUAGCUAGUUGGUGAGGUAACGGCUCAACAAGGCAACGAUGCUUAGCCAACCUGAGAGGGUGAUCGGCCACUGUGGGACUGAGACACGGCCCACACUCCUACGGGAGGC
rnacentral:rRNA from 1 species